rnacentral:rRNA from 1 species
CCUACGGGUGGCAGCAGUGAGGAAUAUUGGUCAAUGGUCGGGAGACUGAACCAGCCAAGUCGCGUGAGGGACGACGGUCCAAUGUAUUGUAAACCUCUUUUGUCGGGGAACAAAGGCGCGCACGUGUCCGCGGAUGAGUGUACCCGAAGAAAAAGCAUCGGCUAACUCCGUGCCAGCAGCCGCGGUAAUACGGAGGAUGCGAGCGUUAUCCGGAUUUAUUGGGUUUAAAGGGUGCGUAGGCGGACUGUCAAGUCCGCGGUCAAAAUGCGGGGCUCACCGCCGUACAGCCGUUGAAACUGGCAGUCUUGAGUGGGAGAGAAGUAUGCGGAAGGCGUGGUGUAGCGGUGAAAUGCAUAGAUAUCGCGCAGAACUCCGAUUGCGAAGGCAGCAUGCCGGCGCCCUACUGACGCUGAGGCACGAAAGCGUGGGUAUCGAACAGGAUUAGAUACCCUUGUAGUC